rnacentral:rRNA from 1 species
CCUACGGGAGACAGCAGUGGGGAAUUUUGCGCAAUGCUCGUAAGAGUGACGCAGCGACGCCGCGUGAAUGACGAAGGCCUUCGGGUCGUAAAGUUCUUUCGACAGGGAAGAAAAUGCCUAUAAGUAACUGUGUAUGUAUUGACGGUACCUGUAUCAGCAGCCCCGGCUAACUCCGUGCCUGCAGCCGCGGUAAUACGGAGGGGGCGAGCGUUGUUCGGAGUGACUGGGCGUAAAGAGCACGUAGGCGGUGUUGUAAGUCAUUAGUCAAAGACUAGAGCUCAACUUUAGUAAGGCUAGUGAUACUAUAAUACGAGAGUAUCAGAGAGGAUUGCAGAAUUCCUGGUGUAGCGGUGAAAUGCGUAGAUAUCAGGAGGAAUACCGUUAGCGAAGGCGGCAAUCUGGCUGGAAACUGACGCUGAGGUGCGAAAGCGUGGGUAGCAAACAGGAUUAGAUACCCCAGUAGUC